rnacentral:rRNA from 1 species
AUUGAACGCUGGCGGCAGGCUUAACACAUGCAAGUCGAACGAGUGGCGGACGGGUGAGUAAUGCUUGGGAAUCUAGCUUAUGGAGGGGGAUAACUACGGGAAACUGUAGCUAAUACCGCGUACCAUAGGAUGAGCCCAAGUGGGAUUAGGUAGUUGGUGAGGUAAAGGCUCACCAAGCCGACGAUCUCUAGCUGGUCUGAGAGGAUGACCAGCCAAGCUGUGACUGAGCCCCGGCCCAGACUCCUACGUGAGGCAGCAGUGGGGAAGAUUGCGCAAUGGGGGCAACGUGACGCAGCCAUGCCGCGUGAGUGAUGACGGCCUUCGGGUUGUAAAGCUCUGUUAAUCGGGAGACGGUACCGGAAUAGAAAGCCACGGCUAACUACGUGCCAGCAGCCGCGGUAAUAC